GUGGCAGCUCAUCACGUGACCGGCGGCGGGCUGCGCCGCGGUGGUGCCGUAGCAUCCUCAGGCUCGCUGCAGUUGGCGGCUCGCGCGCUCCGUUGGAGACUGAGUUCCUCCUCUGGCCUUUGGGGGACAGGCUGGGGAAUUCUGGUUGCGAACGGGAACGCCGGAGAGCUUGCGACAUUCAGAGGAGGGAUACGCGCCUGUAGAGUGUUACAACUGUGGCAAGUGGUGGAAAGUUCUCGACCCGGCUUCGCAACAGGGUUUUAAAAAACCUGUUGUUUCUAUGGCUGGCUGGAAUUGAUGACAGGCCUUUUGCGAGGGUUUCCUUUAUAGCUUGGCUUACAUUUGUACUACCGUUUGGGAAUCUGAAGAGAGCCCAGACAGGGGUUUCUAGCAGCCAUUCUCAACCCUCACAGGGUCGCAUAUCAAAUAUUUACAUUACAAUUCGCAAUUAGCAAAAUUACAGUUAUGACGGAGCCACGAAAUAAUUUUAUAGUUGGGGGUCGCCACAUUAACCGAGUUUAUGAAUGUUGAGAAUCACUGGUUUAUAGGAAGACGUUAGGGGGAGUUGCCUCCAGAAUGACCAGUUGGCCCACCUCUAAAUGGGAACCUAGCGUUCUAGUUGUGAUGACGUCUGAGGCUCUGAAGUGGCUUUAGGAUGAGAAAUCGGUUCUUAUUGUUAGUGCAGGCUGAGGUAGAGGCAAAGGUGAGGCCUCACUUGGAGCAGACAUGAGUCACAUGUCAGUGUCCACACAAUCAGAAAUUAAGUACUGAGUCCAGCUGUCCACUUGCUAGGGUCCUCCUGUGGCGUGUUCAGCCAGUCUGUAUCGCAACAACCUCCAAUAUAGUGAAGACCAUAGUGCUUGUCUAAGACUUUUCUCAUUGGAAGGUAGCUAAUCCAGGAGCAAAAAGAACAGUUAGUCCUAGUCCCAGAAGGGUGUUGCUCAAAUGCUCGAUCCUGAAGCUAUUAACAUGUUAGUAUGAAGGAAAACAAAACCCAAGUACCAAUCCUUUAUAUUAUGUUUUAGGCGUCAUCUUAGUUUUAGAUGGGAUAAGAACUCGGCAUAAGCACUUAGAAUGAAAGAACCUUUGGAUGGUGGAUGUGACAAAGCAAUGGCACAACAAGGGCUUCUGGACAGAAUUAAAGAAGAACCUGAUGAUGCUCAUGAAUAUGGACCUCAAGAAAGUGAACUAAAAAUCAGUGCCGUGUUUUCAGCCGGUGACACUUCUCUCGGCUUUCAGGUUGGUCUACCGUCAUCCGGCCCGAGUACAUCAUUUCCUGCAGUUCCAGCUGCUCAAGUGUUUUGUUUUGGUUGUAAAAAACUGCUUCUUAAGGGACAACCUACCUACCGGAAGGCCGGAUUUGCCCAGCUUUACUGCUCCAUGGGAUGCAUCAUCAGAUUCUCCUCCGCAGUCUGCGUGCCACCUCUUCCCAAGAGAACCUGUGCACAUUGCUCCAAUGGGAAAAAAAAAACACUCUUCAAAAUUACUACUUGAGCCAGGCGUGGUGGCGUGCGCCUUUAAUCCCAGCACUUGGGAGGCAGAGGCAGGCGGAUUUCUGAGUUCGAGGCCAGCCUGAUCUACAGAGUGAGUUCCAGGUCAGCCAGAGCUACAGAGAAACCGUGUCUCGAAAAACAAAAAACAAAAACAAAAACAAAACCAAAAUUACUACUUGAUCUGGAUGCAAGCAUAUCCACUUAUUUCCAAGAUUUCAUGAGACAUUUUAAAUCCGAUGGAUGUGAUCACAACUCAGUUUGAAAAUUCCUCUCUCUGCAAAGAUUUCUGCAGCCAGUCAUGCCUAUUUUCUUAUGAGCUAAAGAAGCCUGUUGUUACCAUAUAUACCAGUGGCAUUUCAGCAAAGUGCAGUAUGUGUCAGAAGGGCACUGAUAAUUUGGCCCCGAAGCCACUCUAUGCCUUGGGGAAUUCAUCGAGGCUGUCUGCUGAAAUGAUUGAGACUACAAAUGACUCAGGAAGAACAGAGCUUUUUUGCUCUAUUAACUGCUUAUCUGCGUACAGAAUUAAGACUGUUAUUUCUUCAGGUAUACAGGUUGUGUGUCAUAGUUGUAAAACUGCAGCAGUCCCUCAGUAUCACCUAGCAAUGUCAAAUGGAACUAUUUGCAGUUUCUGUAGCUCCAACUGUGUGCUGGCUUUCCAGAAUGUAUUUAACAAGCCAAAGGGAAGAAACUCUUCAUUGGCACCCAUAUCUCAGGGCCAAGAGGUGAGGAGCACACCUGUGCAGUCUGCAGUGUUAGCAAGAAAAGAUGCCCCUGCCUCUUCCUUCAGUAGCCCCAUCAGCAACCCUGCUGCAACAGCCCUGGAGACUCUUGCUAAACAGUCCCACCAGAUUGCUUUGACCCAUUUAUUCUUGAAACUCACGUGCCUGCAGUGUAGUCUUCUGUUUGCCACAAAGCCAGAGCUGCUUUUCUACAAGGGUAGGAUGUUUAUGUUUUGCAGCAAGGCUUGCUGUGAUGAAUACAAAAGGCAGAAUAAAGUUAAGGCCUUGUGCGACUACUGUAAGCUACAGAAGACCAUAGAGGACACGGUGCGGUUCUCAGGGAUUGACAAGCCGUUCUGUAGUGAAGUUUGCAAGGUCCUCUCGGCUCGAGACUUUGGGGAAAGAUGGGGAAGCUACUGUAAGACGUGCAGUUACUGUUUACAGACGUCUGCAAAUUUUGUGGAAAACCAACUGGAAGGCAAGCUCCAGGUUUUUUGCUGUGAAGAUUGCAUGUCUAAGUUUACAGCUCUGUUGCAUCAGCCAGGUGUGAUGGUUGUAAACGGCAGGGUAAGCUAAGUGAGUCCUUGAAAUGGAGAGGCAACAUCAAAUACUUCUGUAACCUGUUCUGUGUCUUGCAGUUUUGCCAUCAGUAUAGUGUGAAUGACCCAAUUCCACAAAGAAAAGUAUUUGUGCUCCCAAAGCCAGCACAGGUAAUUAUUCCUAAGGCACAAACUGCUGUGACAGCACUCCCUUCUCCAAGGAUAGCUACAACACCAGUUAUAACCAGUGUGACAUCAUUGGCAAAAAUACCUGCACUUCAGCCCACCAGGAACACGAACAAUGUUUUAACAGGUGCUGGUCCUACAGAGGUAACAAAGAUCAUUGGAAAUGGAAGUGCACAGGCACCUGCUGAGAGACUUCAGCCUCUGCAGCCCCCCAAGCUUCUGAAGAACAAAGGCAUAUUGUGCAAGCCAGUCACCCAGACCAAGGCCACCUCUUGCAGGCCACAUACCCACCAUGCUGCAUGCCAGACAGAUUUACCUCUGCCAGAAUGGAAGAGUGAAGAACCUGAGUCUCCACCGGCAAAAAGAAGAAGAGUAGACUUUUCCCAGACUUACAAUGCAGAGUAUAUCAGAUUCGGUUUCAUUAUCUGUUCUGGAUCAGAGGAAAGUUCACCAAGCCCACAGUGUGUCAUUUGUGGAGAGGUCUUACCUAGUGAAAGUGUGAUGCCACACAAUUGGGUGCAGGAUCAAGAAACUGUCUGAUGACAUCGAAGAUCAGCUGCUGCAGAAGGUCAGGGAGUCCAGGUGGUUUGCCCUUCAGGUGGACGAGUCGUCUGAGGCCACAGAGGUGCCGCUUCUCCUCUGCUAUGUCCGCUUCAUCGACUAUGACCGUGGAGAUGUGAAAGAAGAAUUACUUUUUUGCACUGAAAUGCCUUCUCCGAGCACAGAUCUUGAAGUGUUUGAAUUAAUAAAUAAAUAUAUUGAUAGCAGAUCUCUGAAUUGGAACCAUUGUGUUGGUUUCUGUACUGAUGGGGCCGCAAGCAUGACUGACAGGUAUUUUCGUUUAAGGUCAAAAAUUCAAGAAAUUGCCAAGAAUACAGUGACAUUUACACAUUGUUUCAUUCACCGUGAACACUUAGCAGCCAAAAAGCUAUCUCCAUGCUUACAUGAAAUUCUUUUGCAGUCAUCACAAAUUUUAAGCUUUGUAAAGAACAGUGCUUCAGAUUCACAAAUGUUGACAAUUUUGUGUGAAGAGAUGGGAUCUGAGCAUGUGAAUUUACCACUUAAUGCUGAAGUACGCUGGCUGUCGAGAGGGAGAAUUUUAACAAGAUUAUUUGAACUGAGACAUGAAAUUGAAAUAUUUUUAAAUCAAAAGCAUUCAGAUUUGGCCAGGUAUUUCCAUGAUGAGGAAUGGAUUGCAAAGCUAGCCUAUCUAGCAGAUAUAUUUUCACUUAUAAAUAAAUUAAAUUCAAGUCUCCAAGGAACCAUGACUACUUUUUUCAAUUUGUAUAAUAAAGUUGACGUAUUUCAGAAAAGGCUAAAAAUGUGGUUGAAGCGUGCACAGGAGAAUGAUUACGGCAUGUUCCCUCUGUUUUCUGAGUUCUUGGACUCAUCAGAUGUAAGUGUGAAAAACAUUGCUAGCAUCAUUUUUGAGCACCUGGAAGGACUUUCUCAGAUAUUCCAUGCCUGUUACCCACCAGAAGAGGACUUGCGUUCCGGAAACCUGUGGCUCACAGAUCCUUUUGCCACUUACCACAGUAACAAUCUCACUGACUCCGAGGAAGAGAAACUCGCCGUGUUAUCUGCCGAUACGGGAUUUCAGUCAGUUCACAAGUCAAUGUCUGUCACACAGUUUUGGGUCAAUGCAAAGACAAGUUAUCCCAAGCUCCAUGAAAAGGCAUUGAAGCUGCUGCUGCCCUUCUCAAGCACCUGUCUGUGCGAUGCCACCUUUUCAGCCUUGACUGCAUCCAAACAGAGAGACCUUCGGACUUGCGGUCCCACCCUAAGACUGGCAGUCACAUCAUUAGUUCCAAGGAUAGAAAAGUUAGCAAAGGAGAAAGAGUAGUAUCCGUAUUGCUUAUCAUCAGAGUGUAUAAUUUUGUGUUAAAUUUUGUAUAAGUAUCCUAAAAUACAAUUUGCUAAUGUAUCUGUAUUUUCAGUGAUUAAAUGUUUUAAUAUUUUUCCUUUGUUGUACAGGGAUUUAAGAAUUGUGGAACUGAGCAUAAUUAUAUGUAAUUUUAAUAACACAAGGGAGAAAAUGUA
rnacentral:lncRNA from 1 species